ensembl:snRNA U1 U1 spliceosomal RNA
AUGCUUACCUGGCAGGGGAGAUACCAUGAUCGGGAAGGUGGUUUUCCCGGGGCGAGGCUUACAUUGCACUCCGGAUGUGCUGACCCCUGCCGAUUUCCCCAAAUGUGGGAAACUCGACUGCAUAGUUUGUGGUAGCGGGGGACUGCGUUUACGCUCUCCCCUG